AUUCAACCAUUGCAGCUGAACUGGAUUUUUCACAGCCAGAGACAGCAGCAAUUUUCUGCAAGCAGUGAGAACAAACAGUUUUGGCCACAUUUCCUCUGUCUGGCUCUGCGAGACACUGAGUCCAGCAGGAGCAGCCAAAGCUCCUGCACAAAGGUUCCUGGAACCUGGCUUGUCCCAGCUCCAGAGGCAGGGCACUGGAAGCCCUCACAAUCCUUCACACCACAGGCUGGGCAGAAGGGAAAACCUCUGCCUGCAAGAUGUUUUGAUACAGAAAUAUUCUAAGACAAUUCUGGUAAAUAACAUGCUGGGCUGAGAAGGCUGGGUGACAUACAGGAGUUAGAGAAUAAACAACCAUCUGCAGGGUAACAGAGAGCACAUUCUACCAGUCUUGGGGACAUCUUUUGGGCUGGAGCAAGAGCUGUCAUUAGAGAGAGCUGUCUCUCUUAUGUCCCAGCUUCCAGGUUCUGGAAAUUGCUCCUUGCAGUUGAAGAGAAAAGAAAGGGGUGGAAGCCUGUAGUUCUCAAAUUAAAAAAGGGGAAUAAAGACCUGUUUAUUUGCACACUACCAGCAUCAAACAGGAGGGGAAGAGAAGAGUAUUCAGAGUCUGGUGCCGUUUUCCAGCCAACAAGUAUACUGAAAAUGGAUGGAGGGGUUAUUUCCACUAAGUAAUUACAGUUCAAUAUUACUGUGAACUUACAAGAGCAGAAACACUGAUUCCUCCUGCAGAUUCUCCAAAGAUGGUGACAGAUGCUGGAUCUCCUCCAAAAUGCAGGAUAUUUUCCUGAAUCCACCGAAGAGCCGCCACUUGGUCUAAAUAUCCCCAGUUACCUCGGGCAUGCUCAUCACCAGUGCU